AUUUUUUGCUGUAGCCCUCAAAUACUUUGCAAAUGAUGUUUGACAAAGUAUUUGAGGGCUGCAGCAUAAAAU